CCUGGAGAGGGUCAUGUUGGGAGGUAUGCUCAUGGAGAGGGUCAGCAUCAUGCAAAAACUACUGGAUGAAUUUGGAUUGCGUCUUCACUAUUAUAGAGCUUAGUGACCUAGAAGAAACUGAAGUAUGUAUGAUCUUGAUGUGACAUCAGGGAGAGGAGUAAUAAAGGAAAAACCAAAUGCUUGACACUCGGUGCACGGAAAAUUGGUGUUCCAAUCAUGCGUCUGUGGGACUUGACUCCGCCCAAGUUAUGCUGACUUAAAGUAACUGCUCUGCAGAGGAACCUAACUGAGGCAAAGAUUCUAAUGGGAUGUGAAGCCUAUUCAUCAUCUUGUGAUGGCCGGCUAUACAUGCGGAAAUGCUAGUGUGGGAGAAAAUUCCAGGAAUGCAAAGAAGGAUCCGCUCCGCCUCCUCACUGUCUGACCAGCGCCUCUUCACAUGUGUGACCUCAGGUGGAAAGUAACGCUGUUACUACAGUACUGGUGUAACAGAUCACAGGGGACAGCUGCUUUUUGGAGCAACUGUCCCUGCACUGGAACUAUGAUGAAUUGGAGUUGGAAAAAGCAAGUUGGAUACUUUAUGAUGAAUAUGGUCGUUAGACUCAAGGAGAGAUGGGUCGGUAAUUGGCAUGAAAUGCCCUGGUUGUUGUUAUUGAAUAGUUGGUCAUGUUCAAAGUGGAGUUGCCCCUUUCUUUGUUAUAUAAAAAUGCAUUGUUAUGUAUGGACAAUGACAUGCUCUGCAUAAUGGAGAGCAGAGGAGCACAGUUGGAAAAAAAAAUGAAAACAAU